rnacentral:rRNA from 1 species
GGAGGGUGCAAACGUUGUUCGGAAUCACUGGGCGUAAAGGGCGCGCAGGCGGACCUGUAAGUCAGGAGUGAAAACUCGGGGCUCAACUCCGAGCCUGCUUCUGAAACUGCAAGUCUUGAGGGCCGGAGGAGGAGAGUGGAAUUCCUAGUGUAGCGGUGGAAUGCGUAGAUAUUAGGAAGAACACCAGUGGCGAAGGCGACUCUCUGGACGGUUCCUGACGCUGAGGCGCGAAAGCUAGGGGAGCAAACAGGGAUUAGAUACCCGUGGUAGUCCUAGCCGUAAACGAUGAGUGCUAGGUGGUGGUGGUUUCAACGCCUUCACUGCCGGAGCUAACGCAUUAAGCACUCCGCCUGGGAGUACGGCCGCAAGGUUG